rnacentral:rRNA from 1 species
GACGAACGCUGGCGGCGUGCUUAACACAUGCAAGUCGAACGGAAAGGCCCUGCUUUUGUGGGGUGCUCGAGUGGCGAACGGGUGAGUAACACGUGAGUAACCUGCCCUUGACUUGGGGAUAACUUCAGGAAACUGGGGCUAAUACCGGAUAGGAGCUCCUGCUGCAUGGUGGGGGUUGGAAAUUUUCGGCGGUUGGGGAUGGACUCGCGGCUUAUCAGCUUGUUGGUGGGGUAGUGGCUUACCAAGGCUUUGACGGGUAGCCGGCCUGGGAGGGUGACCGGCGACAUUGGGACUGAGAUACGGCCCAGACUCCUACGGGAGGCAGCGGUGGAGAAUAUUGCACAAUGGGCGGGAGCCUGAUGCAGCAGCGCCGCGUGCGGGAUGACGGCCUUCGGGUUGUAAACCGCAUUCGCCUGUUACGAAGCGUGAGUGACGAUAAUGGGUAAAGAAGCACCGGCUAACUACGUG